rnacentral:rRNA from 1 species
GAUGAACGCUGGCGGCGUGCCUAAUACAUGCAAGUCGAGCGAAUGGAUUAAGAGCUUGCUCUUAUGAAGUUAGCGGCGGACGGGUGAGUAACACGUGGGUAACCUGCCCAUAAGACUGGGAUAACUCCGGGAAACCGGGGCUAAUACCGGAUAACAUUUUGAACCGCAUGGUUCGAAAUUGAAAGGCGGCUUCGGCUGUCACUUAUGGAUGGACCCGCGUCGCAUUAGCUAGUUGGUGAGGUAACGGCUCACCAAGGCAACGAUGCGUAGCCGACCUGAGAGGGUGAUCGGCCACACUGGGACUGAGACACGGCCCAGACUCCUACGGGAGGCAGCAGUAGGGAAUCUUCCGCAAUGAACGAAGGUCUGACGGAGCAACGCCGCGUGAGUGAUGAAGGCUUUCGGGUCGUAAAACUCUGUUGUUAGGGAAGAACAAGUGCUAGUUGAAUAAGCUGGCACCUUGACGGUACCUAACCAGAAAGCCACGGCUAACUACGUGCCAGCCGCCGCGGUAA